AGUGAACGCUGGCGGUAGGCCUAACACAUGCAAGUCGAACGGCAGCACAGUAAGAGCUUGCUCUUACGGGUGGCGAGUGGCGGACGGGUGAGGAAUACAUCGGAAUCUACUUUUUCGUGGGGGAUAACGUAGGGAAACUUACGCUAAUACCGCAUACGACCUACGGGUGAAAGCAGGGGAUCUUCGGACCUUGCGCGAUUGAAUGAGCCGAUGUCGGAUUAGCUAGUUGGCGGGGUAAAGGCCCACCAAGGCGACGAUCCGUAGCAGGUCUGAGAGGAUGAUCGGCCACACUGGAACUGAGACACGGUCCAGACUCCUACGGGAGGCAGCAGUGGGGAAUAUUGGACAAUGGGCGCAAGCCUGAUCCAGCCAUACCGCGUGAGUGAAGAAGGCCUUCGGGUUGUAAAGCCCUUUUGUUGGGAAAGAAAAGCAGCAGGUUAAUACCCCGCUGUUCUGACGGUACCCAAAGAAUAAGCACCGGCUAACUUCGUG
rnacentral:rRNA from 1 species